rnacentral:lncRNA from 1 species
GAGCAGGAGCGAUUAUCCUAGACUCCAAAGGCUCUCAGGUAGCAGGUUGUCAUCGUUUUCUUGGCUCCUACUCUAACAUGAUUGCAGGACUUUGGGCCAUUCGUGAUGGGUUACAACUGGCUUAACAGCUACAUGUUGAUCAUAUUAUUGUGGAGCUUGAGGUUUUAUCUGUAAUUUCUCUAUUGCACAAAGGUAAUUGUAGUAACUUAACUCUUCGCUCCUUGGUUAUGGAUUGCAGGACUUUAUUGGCGACCUCCCAGCAUCGUCACCUCGUUCACAUCUUCUGAAAGGGUAAUUGCUAUGCUGAUUGUUUUGUAUUUCGAACUGCCUUCUUUAAAUGUGCAGCUUUGUCAAUUCUGAUAUUGCUGGACGCUUUGUCUAUCGUGCUACUGUUUCGUUUUAAAUUUUAGUAAUGAAAGUUCCUUUAUUUCCCACACAAGAAAAACAUAGUUUCAUCCCCUAACAUUUUGAUCCUGAAACUGCGAGCUAAUAAUGUUGAUGGAGAAAUUGCUUUGUUUAACUAGCAAGUGGCUUUUAUAUUGAAAGACAGAGGACAGUGUCGUUUUUGGAAUAAGUAAAUUGUUACAAAUUUUAAGCAUAAUUUUGCAGCAAAAGAAGAGUACUCAAUUACAUUUUACAUCACAGAGCACCAAUGUUCUUGAGACCAAGAACGAUCCCAACACCAAAAAUAUGGCCAACAACACCACAAGCCAAAGUGUCAGCAAGUGUAAAACCAGCAGGGUCACCAGUCUGCAAGCCUGAGUCCCUUACUUCAAGCUUCAAUCCAGCGGUGGCCUUUCUGUUUGCUGAUGGAGCCAACCCAAACCUCCCAGCAAACAGCAUCAGGGUUGUUGUAGUCACCAUUAUCUGACCAGUAAACAAACAUUAUACAAAAGUUUUUCUACACAAUCAAAAAUCGUAUAGCAAAGACAGAAAAAAAAAUCCUGACCAAAUUUGUGGGAGAUCCGAUGAAAUCACAUCGUGCACGGAGAGCACCCUUCCCCUUGCGCCUCAUUGGUUGAACUGCUGCCUGCAAUAUUCAUGAACUGAGAAACCAGAUCCAAGUAAAAAUGAAACCAGAAAAGCAAACUCAGGAAUAUUGACUAACCAGGCUCCUAACUGGAGCAGUAGAAACUUUGGGUCUUAACCCACUGAACUGGGGGAGAGUGGUGAUUGCUGCAGUAGCUGCCAUUUGAUAGUAUGCAAGAGAUAAUCAGAAUUGGUUCAAGACAAUUACAAGGUGCCUCUCACCCUCUCUCUGAUCUUUUCUAGUUUGAUUUCAGGUUUAGAUUAAAAAGGUCCAUAAAAAACUAGAUGAAACUGCAGCCACAUAAGCAGUUUGUGGAUUUAGAAAUCCAGAUUUGGAUACAGUUCGAUGUUUGUUGAUGACUUGGCAUUGCUCCAUUGGGUUUUCUUCAUUUGGAUAAGGUUUCAUUUCCUCUCUUGUUUAAAGGUUGAAACUUAUUGGCUAUGUAGAGCUGUAACUUGAGCCAUGCAAAACUUGAUUUGAUUAAAAAAAUUGAUUAAAAUUUAUUUUUAUAAUUAAAAUUUUCUAAGUUAUUUAAUUUAUUAGGUUUUCAAGUUUUGCAUUUAAACAAAUAAUUCAAAUUAAGUAAUUUAACUCGAAUUUGAAAGAAAAAAAAAUUAAGUACAAAUAUAUUUUCAAAAUAAAUUAGUUAUUGUAGAAAGUUGGUAGUUUUUACCAUUUUUUUCCCCAACUCUGUUAUAUAAAAGUUUAAAAUACAAAAAUAAACUUGUUAGACUGUUUAUUUAUAAUUAGCUAGUAGGAUACCCAACGCUUCGCUGCUGUUGCAUGAAUGAGGUGAGCCAUUAGAAUUGGAAAAUAAAGCCUUACAAACCAAGUUUAGAGUAAUGAAUUAUGGUCUGUUGAUCCUAUACCAAUCCAAAAAUGCAGCAAACUCCUUAUCAAUGACUUAAUAAUUAGAUGUUAUUAAACUUUGGUUGAGUAGACACAAUAGAUCUCACGAUAUAAGAUAUAAGGAAAUGAAACUUAAUUUUGUUUUGUAAAAUAUAUAAUUAAUAUAAUAUAUCUGGGUCGAGUCAAGUUGAGUUCGAGUAAAAAUAUUUUAUUCAAGAUUUUACUCAUAUAAAAAACGAGUUUUAAGUUUUACUUAAGUUUAUUUUUUGAGUUUUAUAUUUUUAUCUAAACUCUCUCAAUUUAAGAAAAUUUAAACGAAUAAUUCGACUCAUAAAUAAGUCUAACUUCGCAUGAAUAUCCCAAUCAUAGCUUGAAAUAUUUUAAGGAUUAACCCUCAAAUAUUGAAAUAUUUUAAUGGCGAGAUAGACACAUCUAAAAACAGAUGUCUAAAAUGGACUGCAGAAUAUAAACAUAUUGUCCAUUAUUCAGCAAGUAAAAUAGCAAAAGUAACGGUUCAUAUAAUUAAUUGCAAUUCAACAUUAUAUAUUGAGUAUGGUUUUUGAUCAAGUUGUCAGCUCAACCUGAUUUUUUAACAAUAGUUAGAUGAUUCGUGAAGGUUGUUUUUGAAUGAUUCAAUUAUUCAUCUAAUUAGUACAAUUUUCCACCACGAUUUAAAUUAAAGUUUAUUUAAAAAAUAAAAUAGAAUAAAAUUUUUUAUUCCCCUAUUUUCAUAAUGACACUUAGUAAAAUAAAGAACGAACCAACAAGAAUUUAGACACGUAUUAGCAAUUGGUCCUUUGUUUGAUCAUUCAUAACCAGCCACCCAUGAGCCCCGCUUAAACUAAUUGAGAAGUUCCGUUGCAAGCAACCCAGUUCUAGCCAUUUAUUAUGGAUCACUCAAGAGAACUAUUGAGACAUGAUAAUCUCGUACAUUCUCAUGAAGGAGAAUGUUAGAGUAAGACCACAUAGUAUUAUACAUGAUGACAAUUAACAUGCAAUAGACCUGCCACCUAGCUGACCACCCAAGCAGGCCUACCAUAUUUAUUGUUAGUGACAUGACAUUAUUAGCUAGAGACCCUUCUCUCUCUUUAAAUAUAUCUUGAAGUGUGAGGAGUAAAGGAUAAAUCCUUCUUCCUCCUUAAGAAAACCCUAGUACCAUCCUUACACCAUUUUCAUGUUUUCCCUGCUUUUCUUAUUUAGUUUCUUACUCCAGUUCUUCACCUAUCACAGGUGAAUCAAAAUUCUAGUAAUUAUCAUUUUUUCGUCCUUAUUGAUUCUCUGUAUAAAAAAGUUUAGUUGAUACCACUACUGUUGUAACAUUUAAAAUGAUGUUAAUUUGAGUGCAUUUUAUCUUUUAAUUUAAGAGAUUGAGGUAUGAUAUUGUCGUGGUAGUAGAAAUUGUAUUAAAAAAUUGUAUUAUUAACUUUCUUGUAUAUUUUGUGAAUUUCGUAACUUGGGCCAGAUUUCACAAGGAAUGUAAAGUUUUUGAACCCAACUAGGCCUAAACAUAGUUCCGUCCAAAAGCAAACGGGUCGUAAAGGAUGAAGUUGGAUUGCUUCAAAAUUCUUAUUUUUUUGUUCUUUUAUUUAUUUUAACCCAAAACUCGGGUAUGAACCCUAAAAACCCUAGACACUGGAAUCAACAAAUCCCAUAGAAUCUAAUCCUAAAUUGCUAGAUUUUCGAGAUCUCAUCGAACAUCACUAUAUUAUCCAGAAAAAGCGAAGAGAUCAAGCUCACCAUGGCGGCCGAGGUGAUGCUAAUGAACGAGAUAGAGGCGACAGCAGCACAAAUGGGUAUCGAUAUGAAUAUAGAUUUCAGCUCCAUCCAACUUCCUCCUGGUGAAAACUGUGGCAUUAUCAGGUAUCAAACCUAAUUUUCUUUCCCAAUAUUUUAGACUGAAUUUUGCAUGUAUAUGUAUGUUGGUGUGCGUGCGUGCGUGCGUGUGUUUUAUUAUUAUUAUUAUUUUCUAAUUUUCGUUUUAAACAGUGACGAUGAUGAUGUUUACCACGAUGACCAAUUAGAGUUUGAUUCCGGGUUUGGAAACGUUAUCGUUGUUGAUAAUCUCCCUGUUGUUCCUCGUGAAAAGUUUGAGAAACUCGAGGGAGUUAUUCGAAAAAUCUAUAGUCAGAUUGGGGUGAUUAAGGAGGAUGGCCUUUGGAUGCCUGUUGAUCCUGAGACUAAGAAAACCCUAGGUUACUGUUUUAUAGAGUAUAAUACUCCCCAGGUUCGCUAAUUAUGACUUUUGAAUUGACUAUUUUGAUCUUAUAGCUUUAACUUAAAAACCUGAGUUAUUUUUCCUUUAUUGGUUGUGGAUGUAGGAAGCUGAGCUUGCUAAGGAGAAGACUCAUGGGUACAAGCUGGAUAGAGCACAUAUUUUUGCUGUUAAUAUGUUUGAUGAUUUUGAUAAGUACAUGAAAGUUCCGGAUGAAUGGGCUCCACCUGAGAUUAAACCCUACACACCAGGGGUAAUAUUAAUAUAUUAUUGUAUAAACUUUCUUUCCUUUGUUUUCAUAGUUAAUGAAUUUGAUGUCUGUCUUCCUUGCAAUGGCUGUAAACACACAUUGGAAGUAAAAUUGUUGAUUUGUUGUUUGUUCUCAUAUGCAUACUAUUCUGGUUCGAACAUUGAUAAUAAGCUACUUAUAAAGGAUGCUUUUGGAGUUUGUAUCAAAUGUUUUUAUACCUUAUUUGAGCUUUUUGAAGAUGUAAAAGAUGUUUCUCCUUUGAUUGAGGACAGGGUUAGUGCUGAGUAUUUCAAUUUUUUUUUUGUAUAUCAGUUUACUUGCAUUAAGAUUUUAGUGAAGUUAACCAUAGAUUCUUCUUUGAGUGCUAUUAUGAGAUUUUAUUGCUGUUAGAUGUGUUUCUAAGAACUAUAUAAGUAUCUAUAGCAAAGAUAACUUCAAAUCUUAGUUCUUUUUUAUGACACAAAACUCUCUGCUCUAUCUAUGCUUCUUAGUGCUUAUAUGUUAAUUACUUAAGUAUUUUGUUGUAAUUGCAGGAAAAUCUUCAAAAAUGGCUUGCUGAUGAAAAGGCACGAGAUCAAUUUGUAAUUCGUGCUGGUACUGAUACUGAGGUUCUAUGGAAUGAUGCAAGGCAGUCUAAAACUGAGCCUGUUUACAAACGCACUGUAAGUGGCUUGCUCUUGUAUCACUUACAGUGGUUUGCAGUUUGUGAAAUUCUCUCUCUCUCUCUUUAUAUCUAUGUGUUCUUUUAUGCAUGGUGGUUAGUGAUCCAUUUUGGUAUCUUUGACAGAGUAAUGUUGUUUGAUUUAGUUUAAGCGAUUGCUUUUGUUAUAUACAUAAACCUGUUGUCAUUGUUUAAUGUGCUCUGAUUGUUUAUAAUUGGUCUUGUUUACAGUUCUGGACUGAGAGUUUUGUGCAGUGGUCUCCCAUGGGGACAUACUUGGCAACGGUCCACAGGCAAGGAGCUGCAGUUUGGGGAGGUGCCAACACCUUUAAUCGUCUAAUGCGUUAUGCCCAUCCUCAGGUUGGAAUUAGGCUUGCUUAAGUCAUAUCUUAACCUUGUGAGUCCUCAUCUUUAACAUGCAAUUAUAUGCAUGCAGGUUAAACUUAUUGAUUUUUCCCCUGGUGAGAAAUUUUUGGUGACUUACAGCAGUCAUGAACCAAGCAACCCUCGUGAUGCAAAUGUGAGGUUUCUGUACAAUCUCCUUUUACUUUUUUUACUGUCCUGUUCUGAUGUCACUUCUGAUAUAACCGUAAAUGUAUUUAGAGGGUUGUGAUAAAUAUUUUUGACGUGAGAACUGGAAAAGUGAUGAGAGAUUUUAAAGGAAGCGCAGACGAAUUUGCAGUUGGAGGAGCUGGUGGUGUUGCUGGUAAUUCUUGGCCUGUUUUCAGGUGAUUCUUCUGAUUAUCCUUCACGUAAUCAAUUGUUUGUGUAUAUAUAUUAACCCUCUCCUUUCACCUCAUUUUGGCUAGCAUUCUUUUAUCUAAUGAACUACAAUUGUUAUGUUCUAGGUGGGGAGGUGGAAAGGAGGACAAGUAUUUUGCCAAACUUGGGAAAAAUAUGAUAUCUGUUUAUGAAACAGAGACCUUUAGUCUUAUUGACAAGAAAUCUUUGAAAGUUGAGAAUGUUGUGGACUUCAGUUGGUCACCAACUGAUCCCAUUAUUGCACUUUUUGUUCCUGAACUUGGAGGAGGAAACCAACCUGCUAGGGUAAGCACUUUUGCUCCACUUGAGAUGGUCCAUUGUGAUCUGAAACUUUGAUGUUCUCUAAUAUGCCACUUGCUUGUAUUUCUCAGGUUAGUCUAGUUCAAAUGCCCGGGAAAGAGGAAUUGAGACAGAAAAAUCUUUUCAGCAUCAGCGAUUGCAAGAUGUACUGGCAAAGCAAUGGCGAUUAUCUUGCGGUGAAGGCUGAUCGCUAUACAAAAACAAAGAAAAGUACGUACACCGGCUUUGAGCUCUUUCGCAUCAAAGAAAGGGACAUUCCAAUUGAAGUUUUGGAACUUGAUAAUAAAAAUGAUAAGAUAAUUGCAUUUGCUUGGGAGCCCAAGGGUCACAGGUUUGCUGUUAUACAUGGGGAUAAUCCAAGGCCUGAUGUUAGCUUUUACUCAAUGCGAAGCACUCACAAUUUGGGUCGAGUUGCAAAGCUCACAACUCUGAAAGGCAAGCAAGCAAAUGCUCUUUUCUGGUCACCUGGUGGUCGUUUCAUAGUACUCGCUGGAUUGAAGGGUUUCAAUGGUCAGUUGGAAUUCUUCAAUGUUGAUGAGCUUGAAACUAUGGCUACUGCUGAACAUUUUAUGGCAACAGAUGUUGAAUGGGAUCCCACUGGAAGGUAAAGCCACUAACAAUUUGACAACAUCUAUAUUGACUCUACGAUUUUAUGCUCAUUGGUUUUGUGUUUGAUUGAACCAAGAUGCUUUACUAUUAAAAGAAAUAGAAAUUGCUCCAUUUUUUUUUUGGUUUCAAUAAGAAAAGUACUUAAAAGUUUCUAUUCUAAGAAGUUUGCUUUGUAUAGGUAUGUUGCAACUUCAGUGACUUCGGUUCAUGAAAUGGAAAAUGGUUUCAACAUAUGGUCCUUUAAUGGCAGGCUACUUUAUCGGAUACUGAAGGAUCAUUUCUUCCAGGUAAAUGAAUGAUUCUACCUAAUGUAUCAUAAACAAGUUCCUGCAGUUAGAUUGUUUAUUCUGAGUGUUUCCGCCUUUGCCAGGCAAUGAUCUCAGUGCUUAUUGGAUAUUUGUUGUUUGUCAUAUUUUAUUGCAGUUCUUGUGGCGUCCAAGGCCACCAUCCUUCUUGACACCUGAGAAGGAGGAAGAGAUUGCAAGGAACUUGAAGAAGUAUAGCAAGAAGUACGAGGCAGAGGACCAGGAUGUAUCGAUGUUAUUGAGCGAGCAAGAUCGAGAGAAGAGAAGGAUGUUGAAGGAGGAAUGGGAAAAGUGGGUUAGUGAAUGGAGGCGGGCACAAGAGGAAGAAAAAUUGGAGAGGCAAAAGUUGAGGGAUGGAGAAGCUAGUGAUGAAGAAGAAGAAUACGAGGCCAAAGAAGUUGAAGUAGAGGAAGUGUUGGAUGUGUCGGAAGAGGUCCUUUCAUUUGAAGAGUGAACCUGUAGUAGAGGAGCUUGAUUCUUCAUUAUGAUGUUGUUGUUACCUUUACUUUUUGAUUUUGUUACCGUAAGAAUUGUGGGUCAUGACAUUGCCAAGUCUAGUUGAUUAUGAUUUAUUUGAAAACAAGUUAAUUUUAGAUCAGAUCAGAUGUAUACUUCUCUUCUGGUUUCAGGUUUCACUGCAAAAAGAGUACUAACAAUGGUUAUAAAUUUUCAAAUUUCAACUUUUGCUUUUUUUGGGGGCUUAUUUGUUGAAAUGUGAUCCCUUGAUGAAGAUUUCUCGUUCGAUAUAAUCUGGUUUAUUGGCUAAAGAGAUGCAUACCGUAUUAUUUAUUUAGGUAAAUUAUAUUCAAAGUUAUUAAACUAUUAGUAAAUUUAAGUUUUUGUCACUUGAUUUUAAAAAAUUACAAAAUAUUUAUUAAAUUAUUCAAAAGUUUUUAUUUAAGUUAAUUAAAUUAUUUGAAAGCUUUUAUUUAAGAUACAGAGUUGUUAAUUUUUUUCAAAAAAAGUUUAACUAGCGAGCUCUAAUUUGUUAUUGGAAGAUCAAUACGAUAGAUUAAUAUUUAUCGAUGAAUAGAAAAUCUAAUGAUUAGUGUCGACAAUUGGAGAAAAAAAGUUAUUUAAAUUUUAUUUUUUUAUAAAAAAAGUUAUUUAAAUUUUGUUUCAUUGAUUCAUGACGUAUAGUCCGUUAUUUAAAUGGAAACUUUUAAAUAAUUUAUUAAUUAUUUUAUAAUUUUUUAAAAUUAAAUAAUUAAAAUAUAAAUUUAUUAAUAAUUUAAUAACUUAUAGUGUAGUUUAUACUACUUUAUUUAUUAUCAGAAUAUGAAUUUCGAAAUAGAUUUUGUUAGUCAUUUUUGCUUUUUGAAUAAUAUCAGGAGCCGACCCAAAUAUAUAUAAAAAGUCGAAAUGGUUACUAUUUAUUUAUUUUUUAUAUUCUAACCCACCGAGGCCAAAAAAAAAAAGCCUCCCGUACCUACUUAAUUGGAAACGGGAAGGAAAUAAUUCCUCCAAAAUCCUCCAAACGAAACAUGACCACCGCAGCUGAAACCCGCAAUUGGCUAGAACUGCCGUUGGAUGUGACGGCUUCGAUUCUCUCCCGGAUAGGUGCGAUUGAGAUCCUUAACAGCGCCCAAAACGUGUGUUCUUUGUGGCGGAACAUCUGCAAGGACCCAUUAAUGUGGAGAUCCAUUGAUAUGCACAACUUGGGUGAUUUAUGGGACAUGGACUAUGACCUUGCGAAGAUGUGUGUCCACGCUGUCGAUCGCAGCUGUGGUCACUUGCUUGAUAUCAAUGUCGAGUAUUUUGGUACUGAUGCACUUCUUCUUCAUAUCUCUGAGAGGUAAAGUUUCUUUCCCCCCUAUUUUGUAAUCUCUAUUUGUUUUUCGGGUUAUGCUAAUUAUCAAUUAUUAACUUUCAUUAUUAUGAUGUUAAUGGAGUGUUAUAAUUUGAUAGGUUUGGUUUAUUGAUAGUCGAAUUCUGGGCAUUUCCCAGAUUUAGGGUUUCUUUAGCAAAUUAGGUUCGGUUUCUUACUUGAACGGUAAAUUUCAGGCUACCUCAACCAACUUAUUUAUGCACUUCUUUCAACCUUAUGUUUUUUAAUUAAAAUAUUCAAUUGCCAAAAAUUUAAGGCCUUCUCUGUUUUCAAUACCACUUAUUUAGCUUAUUACUGCAGUUCUUUUUUCUCUUUUAGCUCUGAAUUUAGGGGGACAAUUUAAGCUGAAUUGAGUAAGGCGUAGUAGCAUACAUUAAACUUUCCCAAUCUAUUUUUGGUGUUCUCUUUAUCGAGGUGCUAGGAGAAUAUAGGAAGGAUAAUGAUUAUUGUUAAUAUGAUUCUUCAUUAAGCAUCUAAUGCUUUGGUGGUUGUAUGGCCUUGGUGUUUCCCUUGAUGAAUUUUAAACCCUAAACCCUAAAGCAUCUAAUGCUUUGGUGGUUGUAUUUGAUAUUUACUUGUAGAUCUGCUCAUAGCCUAGUCUUUUGUUUUCGUUGCUUUAACUGCAGUUGAUUACUGAAGAAAUUCAAUAUGUAUGAACAUUUAAUAGAAAGAUGAUUGGUUGUUUGCAUUCAUAAUUUCAAUCACUGCUUAUUUUUAUUAUGUUACAGUACUAAAAUGGUUACUCAGUUGUUUGCAACUGCUGUUACCUAUCAUUGCCCAUGUUUUAUUCUUCAAAUGAUGCUUUUUGCAGGUCUGUUCAUCUUAAGCGUCUUCGAAUAGUAUCAUGCUAUAACAUUUCAGAUGAAGGGUUAAGUACAGCAGCUUUAAAGCUUCCAUUUCUGGAAGAGCUUGAAAUUUCAUACUGCUCCAUUUCGAAAGAUGCUCUGGAAACUAUUGGUCGCAGUUGCCCUCUCUUGAAAUCAUUCAAAUUCAAUGUUCAGGGAUGCAGACGCUUCCACUUGGAGUCUGAUGAUGAGGCACUAGCUAUUGCACAAACCAUGCCUGAAUUACGCCACCUCCAACUUUUUGGGAACAAGUUGACUAAUGAUGGCUUGCUGGCCAUUCUCAACGGUUGUCCUCACCUUGAAUAUCUUGACUUACGGCAAUGUUUCAAUGUUAGUCUGGGAGGGAACUUGGAGAAAAGAUGCGUUGAACGCAUAAAAAAUUUGCGACGCCCUAAUGAUUCAACUCAUGAUUAUGAGUUCUAUACGGAAGUUCAUGAUACUGGGUCAUCUGAUGAAGAUUAUCCAUCUGGAAUUUCAGACAUAGACUUUAUGUCCGAUGAUUAUGAUGAUUAUUUCGAGUUCUCGGGUGACUCUGAUUAUGAUUUCGGUAAUGGCUAUGAUGCUGUGCUUUUUGACUGAUGCCAUGGAGUGAAGCAAGGGAUACUCCUCCAGUGUCCAGGGUAGGGAAUCAGGUUAUUUAAAAACGGACUGCCUUCUUCCUAAUACUUUUGCACAUAUCUGUGUUCAAUACUCCAUUUUAUGUAGUUUUAUCCUUUAGGGCGGGAAAAAAGGUUUCUAUGAUUAAACCAUUGUUUUUUGGUUUCUAAGACUUUUUGUGGCGGUCCAUUUAGUGAAAAAAAAGUUUUAAAACAAGAUGUGUACAUACAUAAUGCCUGGCUUUGGCUUUUAUCAUAAUGGAAUGCAGUGUGUUGUGUUGCUGUAGUGAUGAAUAUUUGUGGGUGUUGUAGGAUGAAGAUGAAAAUGGGAGAGCUGCUGCAAAUUCAGUGAUGUUAUCGCAGUUGAUCAGGUCAAAUACUGCACUUUUGUGUUUAUUUUGUUGCAUGGUAGGUUGGCAUUUGUAUAAAAUGUCGUGGUCAUUGACGGUGACACAAACAGAUAUUUUAUCUUUUGAGGGACCUUUGCAGUUGUGUUCAUUUUGUUUGCCAUACUCUGCUAUGUAUAAUAUAAUUAUGUGGUAGAAAUAGAUGUUUGUCAAGUUUUUGCUGCGUAUGUAAGGGUGCCAUAGCUCUUCCCAUUUGUGGUAGUGGAUAAUGAUGAAUGAAACGAAGGGGCAUAGUCGAUUCUAACAUGUAAGAUACUUGGGCAGACAUUCAAAGUUGAAGCAAUCACCUCAUCAACCCAAUUGCUUAGGCCCAGCUCUUUAUCACACAGGGUCUAGGAUAAUAAUAACCCAAACUCCAUAAUUACCCCAAACAAACCAAAUAUUAAAAUAAAUUGGAUGAAUUAAUGAAUGAAUGAAUAAAACUCUUAUUUUCCUUUUAUUCUCGUCCAUGUAAUUAUUUUAGACAUAGACAAAACUAGUUGUGAUAAGAUUUACGAGAUUGCGACAUCCGAAAUGGAAGGCCACAUUUUGUUGGAAUUGAUUUCUUCUAUCAAAAAUUAUUUUUAUCAAUCUUAAAAGUCACUUGGAAAUACAUAAAAUACAGAUAAUGCCACCUCGGCGGUAAAAAGUAUCUUCUAUUUUGCAUCCUUAAUUUAAAAGAUGAAUAAAUUCGUCCUUAUAUAUUGGAUCAAAAAAUCAAAUCAAUGUUUUUUUUUGGAAAUUUUAUCUACUUUUUACAGUUUAAAAUUGACGUGACUAACAGAAUAAUUAAAAUAUUAUAUAUGGUGUGUCACGUGUAUCUCAUUCUGGCUUGCAAGGAUAAACUUUUAACCAUAAAAAUUGAUGAAAAUUUUAAUAAAAUGACCAAUUUGUUCUUUGCUCUAAUAUACAACACUAAUUUGCCUAUUUUCUGACUAAAGAAGGUAAAAUGCAACCAACUCUUAGCACAAUGACCUCCAUAAUAUUUUUACAUGACCCCAACAUAUGUAUAAGGAUCAGUUUAUCAUUGAGGUUGAAAAGUACUUUUAAAAAGUUUGGUAGUGUCUACCAUUGUUGUCAAAAAAUGUUUUUGAGAAUAUAAAAUAUCUGUUUUAAACAUGAUUUUAUAAAGUAAAAAAAUAUGUAUUUAAAAUGAUAUUUAAAUUCCCUAAUAUUAUAAUAUAUGGAAUAUAUAAAAUUGAAUUACAAUAAAAUAUUAAAAAUAAGUUAUUAAUUUAAAAAAUUGGUUUAGCGUGAAAAGUAUUUUUAAAAAUUUUAUAUAAAUUUUAAAUUAUAAUUUAUAUUUAUUUAAUCCGAUACUAUUGUUACAAAAAUAUAUAUCGGAAGAAGAUAAAAGAGUGAAGUGAGGGCAGCAUGAGGCCUGGCACUUACCUACUUACGUUGAUCCGUCUUAGUUCUUCAGCUUUAGUGAGGGUCGGGCAGUCUUAGCUUUUUAAUUGAAUUUUUGUAAACCCCAUGGCCAUGUGUCCUCAGCAUUUCUGUCUAUUCUUGUUCUUUCAUUUUAUUCCCAUUGCUUUCAACCCAAUCAUACUUUUUUCUUUUAUUUAUGCUUAAUAAAUAUUUCUCUUUUACACACACACAAAAAAAAAAAAGAAAAAAGAAAAAAAGAAUACAAGUAAUUAAUACUUCGAAUCCUAAAAACCUAUCAUACAUAUAUAUAAUAAUCGGAUUAUGUCACUUACAUGUUAUUACAUAAUAGACAAUUGGACCAUGCCAUAUCACAAUUUUGAUUUCUGAAAUCUGCCCCCUAAUUUGUUAUAUAUAUUUCUCACUCAACGAUAUCACCUGGGAAUUAUUUCAUAGCUAGAUUCAAUUUACGUUUACAGAUGUUGUAAUUUUUAAUGUUAAUCAGAAUAUAUAAGCUUCUUUUACGAGCUGAGCAUAUUUUUGUGUAGAAUCCAACACUGCUUUAUAAAAAGACUUCCCAGACAGUCGAGAUCGGAACUAAAGAAAAGAUAUCUUAUGUCAUGUCUCGUAUAUUAUAUAAUACUGCCAAGUGCCUAAAUAUUGUUUUAGAGAAGCUUAGCUGCUUAAUUAUUAAAGAAACUAUGCAACUUAUUAAAAGUGAGGGCCAAUGUUGAUAAUAUUAUUAGUUAAAAGGAAUUUAUAUAUGCUUUUUAAUUACUAACUAACAAUGCGCAUUUGCUUUCUUGGAUGCAAUUCAAGCUAUGGAGUUAGAUUGGUUAAUUAAGAAAGCUUGUAUAUCUUUUUUUUUUUCUCUAGUAAAUUAUUAAUUCAAAUUUGUUGAUGCCAAAAAGCUGCGAGGAGGAUAGUGUGAUGGAGAUUGAGGAUGGUUUGCUUUGUUUAGUUAGGGAGUUGCUAAACAUGUUCCUGUUCGGGGUUGAGAGAGUUAUUUAUAUAAAUUUAGUCUUCUUUUAUCACAUGUCACGUCUUGAUCGAUUUUUUUAUCACUUUCACAAUUCUUAGUUGAGUGAGUAAUAUAACCUUGUUAAGAUUGUAGAAUAUAUAAUAAUAAGUAAUGAUUGUCUUGUCAAAAUAAUAUUAUUGUCAGAAAUAAUCAAUUUAUAUAUUUUCCAAAUUUGAUCGGAACGAUGCUUGUAGCGAAAGAGGUAUAGUUACUGUUGCGGAAAGGAUCGAUUCGAGAACUCCGAUAUGACUACAAGUAAAUUGACCGGAACGAAAAAUAAAGUGAACACAAGGAUUUACGUGGUUCGGCUUUAAUGCCUACGUCCACGGGCAGAGGCGAAAAGAAAUUUCACUAUAACAAGAUGAAGAUUACAAGUGUUUUACACUCAAGACACAACCCGAGAACCUCACAACUCUCAACCCCUAUAGAAAACCCGAAAGCUAAAAUCCUAGCUUUCAAAGAACAAGAUUUGCUCUCUCUUGGUUUGGGAUGAUCAAUAUGGCUAAUGAACCUCUCUAUUUAUAAGAGAGUUCAAGGACAUAAUUGUCCAAAACUUUGGCAAAGAUUUGUGGUUGAAAAUGGACACCAACAACCAUCCACUAAUCCACUACCACCAACAACCCACUACCAACAACAACAAUCCACUACCAAUUUUAAGCCAUUUCUUAACAAAUCUCCACCUUGGCUUGAAAUUUACCAAGCUGAACAUCAUAGUGAAUUCCUCGAACUGGAUCACCUCUUCCAAACGCCUCUCUGGCGCUAAUCAAUCCCGAAUACCUAUCAAGUCCAAGCAAUGCUUGAACUUAUAUGCAGGGAUCACCUUAGUUAACAUAUCUGCAGGAUUCUUCUCGGUAGCAACCUUGCUGAUAACAAUGUCACCUUGCGUAACAUGUUCCCGAACAAAAUGAUAUCUGACAUCAAUGUGUUUGGUCCGUUCAUGAAACAUCUGAUUUUUAGUCAGAUGUAUGGCACUCUGGCUAUCGCAAAAUACAACAGUGAAAUCCUGUUGUAAACCCAAACUGCUUACUAGACCUUUCAUCCACAAUGCUUCUUUCACUGCUUCUGCUAACGCCAUAUAUUCCGCCUCAGUCGUAGAUAAGGCUACGGUAGACUGUAACACAGCUUUCCAACUAAUGGCUCCUCCAGAAUAAGUGAAAACAUAACCCGUCAGAGAUCUUCUUUUGUCCAGAUCUCCAGCAUAAUCAGAGUCCACAUAGCCCGUGACACUGCUAGUGCAGUCACUCUGAUCAUAUACCAAGCAUAAAUCUGCAGAACCUCUCAAGUACCUGAGAAUCCAUUUCACGGCCUGCCAGUGUUCCUUGCCAGGACAACUCAUGUAUCUGCUGACCACACUAACUGCAUGUGAAAUGUCUGGACGAGUGCAAACCAUUGCAUACAUCACGCUUCCAACUGCACUCGAGUAUGGAAUGUGAGACAUUUGCUGCUUUUCUUCAUCAGAUUGUGGUGACAACUCUGCAGAGAGUUUGAAAUGUGGUGCCAACGGAGUACUCACAGUUUUCGCUUUAUCCAUGCCGAAGCGUUGAAGAACCUUUUCAAUGUAGUUCUUCUGCGACACACGAAGCUUGCCCGCCUUGCGAUCUCUGUGAAUAUCCAUGCCCAAAAUUUUCUUGGCAGCACCCAGAUCCUUCAUCUCGAACUCACCACUCAACUGCGACUUUAACUUGUUGAUUUCCGACAUGUUUUUGGAAGCAAUUAACAUGUCAUCAACAUACAGCAACAAAUAAAUGUGCGAACCAUCUGAGAGCUUCCGAUGAUAGACACAAGCAUCAUAGUCACAUCUUGUGUAACCAUGCUGAAUCAUGAAGCUAUCAAACCGCUUGUACCACUGCCUUGGGGAUUGUUUCAAUCCAUAUAAAGACUUCUUUAAUAGACAGACAUGGUCUUCUUUACCAGGAACUGUAAAACCCUCUGGUUGACGCAUGUAGAUUGUUUCCUCGAGCUCACCAUGCAAGAACGCCGUUUUUACGUCAAGCUGCUCAAGUUCUAGAUCAGACUUGGCCACCAUGGCAAGUAAUACACGAAUGGAAGAAUGCUUUACGACUGGGGAGAAAACUUCAUUGUAGUCAAUCCCCUCUUUCUGAGUGAAGCCUUUAGCAACCAAUCGUGCCUUGAAUCUAGUUGCUUCAACCCCUAGGAUGCCUUCCUUUUUCUUGAAGACCCAUUUGCAACCAACUAUCUUCUGGUUACUUGGCGGCUUAACCAACUCCCAAGUAUGGUUCUUGUGAAGAGAUUCUAUCUCCUCACUCAUAGCAAUUGCCCACUGUGCCGACUCAUCACACGUGACAGCCUCAUUAUAACUGGAAGGUUCUAUACCAAUGGACUCCGCCACACUGAGCGCGAAAGACACCAGAUUAGCGUAACGCGGAUUUGGUUUGAUUUGUCUCUUCGUUCUUCCAGUGGCAAUGCUAUAUGGUUUUUCUUGAGGUGACUCAUCUUCAUCGGAAUCUUGCACCUCAACUUGAUCAUCCUGGACUGAAGUACCUUCCGUAGGAAUUGGAGCGUCCACCUGACACUCCACCUGCUUCUCAACACCGUGAUCUCCCAUUCUAUCUGACUCCUCCUUUUCCCGGGAAUUUGUGGUGGAUCGAAGCAUGGAUGACUCAUCAAAAGUCACAUCUCUGCUGAUGAUGAACUUGGACGAAACCGGAUCAGGACACCACAACCUGUAUCCUUUCACCCCUUGGCCGUAUCCAAGAAAUAUGCAUUUCUUCGCCCUCGGUUUGAGUUUUCCCUCAUUUACAUGAGCAUACGCAGGGCAGCCAAACACUCUUAAACCAGAGUAAUCAGCAGGAGAACCAGACCAUACUUCCUCAGGAGUCUUCAGCUCAAUAGCUGUUGACGGAGAUCUGUUAACCAAAUAACAAGCAGUAUUAACAGCUUCAGCCCAAAAUUCUUCACCGAGCCCAGCAUUUGAUCGCAUGCAACGAGCUCGCUCCAAGAGAGUUCUAUUCAUGCGUUCUGCAACUCCAUUUUGUUGUGGUGUUCGACGAACAGUGCGGUGUCUCACUAUUCCUUCAUUCUUGCAGAACUCAUUGAAUUCACCUGAGCAAAACUCCAAGCCAUUAUCCGUCCGGAAUCGCUUGAUCUUCUUUCCUGUUUGAUUUUCGAUCAAAGCUUUAAAUUGCUUGAAGUUGAUGAGAACCUCAUACUUGCUCUUCAGAAAAUACACCCAAACCUUUCUCGAGUAAUCAUCGAUAAAGGUAAGCAGAUAUCUGUAACCACCUUUAGAAAUUGUCGGAGAAGGCCCCCAAAGGUCAGAAUGGAAGUAAUCCACUGUGCCUUUUGUCUUGUGAAUCCCAGUGCUGAACUUUACCCGAGUCUGCUUACCGAAGACGCAGUGCUCACAGAAAUUCAACUUUCCUGUACACUGCCCAGACAAUAAUCCUCGUUUGCUUAGCACCGAUAAGCCUCUCUCGCUCAUAUGCCCGAGCCGCAUAUGCCAUAACUUCGUGGUGUCAGAAUCUAGAUCAUCUGAUGAUGACACUCCCGCAACACCUGUAACCGAGGAACCAUCGAGGAAGUAAAGGCCCCGCUCCAAAUUACCACGUAUCACAGUCAAAGCACCCGAGAAUACCUUGAGAACUCCACCUUCAGCAGAGUACCGAAAGCCUUUCUUGUCCAACGUACUCAAAGAGAUCAAAUUUUUCUUCAUUUCUGGAAUGUGCCGAACAUCAGUUAGAGUUCUAACAAUACCGUCAAACAUCUUUAUACGAACUGUGCCAAUCCCCAUGACUUGACAUGCGUGGUCAUUUCCCAUUAGUACUGAACCAGAAUGCUUCUCGUAUGUUGAGAAUGCAUCUUUCGAAGUACUUAUAUGAAAUGUAGCUCCCGUAUCAAGAAUCCAUCUCCCACCAGCGUAAGAGUCGGAUACUGCAAGAACGAUCUCGGCAUCACUUGAAGAAUCUGCAUCAGCUACAUUCGCACGAUCAUUUUGUUGCUCCUGUGAUUCUGAUUUCUCCUUCCUUUUCGGACAAUCUACCUUCAUGUGCCCGUACUUCUUACAGUAGUAGCACUGUAUUCUCUUCUUGGACUGCGAUCUAGGAUGGCUUUUACUUGAACUUCCACCCUUUGCCUUGGAUCUUCCUCGAGCAACCAAGCCUUCGCCUUCAUUGUUUUCGACCACCUUACCAGUGAUUUUCUUCCUCAACUCACUGGAACUUAAGGCAUUUUUCACCUCCUCUAGAGUCAGGUCAUCACGACCGUACAUCAUUGUAUCAACAAAAUUCUCAUACGAGGGAGGCAAAGAACACAAAACAAUUAUUGCUUGGUCCUCAUCAUCGAUUUUGUUAUCGAUAUUAUUCAAAUCCAUGAUAAUGGAAUUGAAUUUAUCCAGGUGCUGGGAAACAGGUGUACCUUCCUCCAUCUUCAGGGCAUAGAGUCUUUGCUUGAGGUAGAGCCGGUUCGUCAAUGACUUCGUCAUGUACUUGCUCUCUAACCGGAGCCACAAACCGGACGCGGUUUUCUCAUCCGCUACUUCUCGUAGCACUUCAUCUCCUAGACAUAGCAGAAUAGCACUAUGUGCUCUUUCUAGCAUGUCAUCCUUUUGCUCUUCCGAAAGCGUGCUUGGUAAUUUAUCUUUACCAGACAAUGCUUUUAGCAAUCCUUGUUGAACCAGCACUGCCCGCAUCUUGAUGCGCCAUAAACUGAAACUAUUUUUCCCGGUAAAUUUCUCGACAUCAUACUUAGUCGAUGAAACACUUGUAGCCAUAAUUUGGAACCUUUGAAUGAAUGAUAAUAUUUUCUUCCUGAUGUGAAAGAUCAGACAAAGCUGCAGUCACAGGGCAAUUCAGAAAAUAUUAUCACUCCUUCAACUACGCUCUGAUACCAAUUUGUUGCGGAAAGGAUCGAUUCGAGAACUCCGAUAUGACUACAAGUAAAUUGACCGGAACGAAAAAUAAAGUGAACACAAGGAUUUACGUGGUUCGGCUUUAAUGCCUACGUCCACGGGCAGAGGCGAAAAGAAAUUUCACUAUAACAAGAUGAAGAUUACAAGUGUUUUACACUCAAGACACAACCCGAGAACCUCACAACUCUCAACCCCUAUAGAAAACCCGAAAGCUAAAAUCCUAGCUUUCAAAGAACAAGAUUUGCUCUCUCUUGGUUUGGGAUGAUCAAUAUGGCUAAUGAACCUCUCUAUUUAUAAGAGAGUUCAAGGACAUAAUUGUCCAAAACUUUGGCAAAGAUUUGUGGUUGAAAAUGGACACCAACAACCAUCCACUAAUCCACUACCACCAACAACCCACUACCAACAACAACAAUCCACUACCAAUUUUAAGCCAUUUCUUAACAGUUACCAUAGCUAAGUGAUUAACAAGGAUGGCUGAGUGAGACAGUCAUAUAUGUAACAAAUUUAAAUCUUUUGAACAAUUUUUUUUUUUUAAAUAUUGUCCUUCAACCCUUCCAAGUCCCAAAAUAAUGGUUUAAAUCGAUGGAGUGGGACAGAAUCUAGCAGUUAGAUGGGUACCCAGUGAUUAAUAAUACAUCAAGCAUGACUUUGAUUAGAUUAAGCGAAUACUAAACAACAGCCAUUGGAGACAUCAACCUUUGUUUUUCCAAGAAUCACUCCCACAAGUUUCCUUUUUUCCAAUUUUGGGUUGUCCAAUUAAUUCAUUAAUUACUUUUUGAAGUUUCGAACCUAAAAUAUUACCAUAAAUAAAUCUAAUAUUCCCCACAAUAAAAAAAAAACAUUAAAUUGGUGUCAUGAUUUUCAACCAAGGCAUAUUAAUUUAAUUGGAUUUCUUUCAUGUUGAAGAGGAAGUUUGUUGUGAUCUGAAGUGGAAGUGAACACAACUUGUCCGAUUGUCGGCCUAUCAAAACAGCGGGAAUAUUGCUAUUUUGUUUACUAACUAAUUUCACCUUCUCUUUCUUAUUACAAUCAUUUAUUUUUUUAUUUUAUUGCUUCCUUUGACGGCCCUCUAGAAAUGAGUUUAUUUAAUUUACGUGUACACAUAAGUGUUGCCGCUGCAAGUUCAAUGCAUUCAUCGCGAAUCCUGGGAUUUGAAUUUCUCAUUCUAAUUAAUUUUUAUCAUUUCCAAUCAUCCAGACUUACUAUUUCUCAUUUGGAAAUCAUCAUAUUUUUUGACUUUAUAAUUUGUUAUUAUGAAAUUACCUAUUCUCGAUUAAAUCAACAUUUUUGACUUAGGGGGCAUGCUGGAUUUGUGACCGGGGCCGGGGGAUUCCACCUACAUCAAAACAGCUUCUUCGUAACUUUAAAUUAUAGUUUUUUAAAAGGGCUAUUUUUCUAACAAUUUUAAAGGGUAAAAUAUAAAAUUAUCAUUAUUCUGAUUUACACUUUUAAAAAUUUUAAAGACAUUAAAAAUGAAAUUUUAACAUUUUAGUGGUUAGGGUUCUUGCUUAUCCUUUGGUGUUGUCAUUAAAUGAAUUACCUCCUUGAUAAACAUUGACAUCAUGUAUCUACAACGCAUAGACAAACAACAUUAUCACAUU